GGGAAUGUAGCUCAGCGGCAUAAGCACCUGCCUUGCAAGCAGGUGGUCGUGAGUUCAAUCCCU
rnacentral:tRNA from 1 species